UACAGAGGGGGCAAGCGUUGUUCGGAAUUACUGGGCGUAAAGGGCGCGUAGGCGGCCUGCUAAGUCGAACGUGAAAUCCCUGGGCUCAACCCAGGAACUGCGUCCGAUACUGGUUGGCUUGAAUCCGGGAGAGGGACGUGGAAUUCCAGGUGUAGCGGUGAAAUGCGUAGAUAUCUGGAGGAACACCGGUGGCGAAGGCGACGUCCUGGACCGGUAUUGACGCCGAGGCGCGAAAGCCAGGGGAGCAAACGGG
rnacentral:rRNA from 1 species